CAGUCGCCACGGUAAUACAGAGGGUGCAAGCGUUAAUCGGAAUUACUGGGCGUAAAGCGCGCGUAGGUGGUUUGUUAAGUUGGAUGUGAAAUCCCCGGGCUCAACCUGGGAACUGCAUUCAAAACUGACUGACUAGAGUAUGGUAGAGGGUGGUGGAAUUUCCUGUGUAGCGGUGAAAUGCGUAGAUAUAGGAAGGAACACCAGUGGCGAAGGCGACCACCUGGACUAAUACUGACACUGAGGUGCGAAAGCGUGGGGAGCAAACAGGAUUAGAUACCCGAGUAGUCCCUGUCUCUUAUAC
rnacentral:rRNA from 1 species